UGACUUAAAACAAAACUCGUAGUUGUUGAUAACGUGAUUAUAUACCCCCUGAAUGACUUUAAUUAACCAAUCACAAUCCAGUAUUUACAGUAGUCAUGGUAGAAAUAGGAGGUAAACAUACUG